AUGAAUACAAAAAGUCACGUGGCUUUAGACUUAUCCAAUCACAAUAUAUUGCAAUCAAAUAUAAAACGUAUGUGCUCAGCAUGAAACAUUAUGUCAUUAUGGGCAUAAUAGACAGACUCUAUGACUGGUGGCAUAGCGUAGAAUGUCAUUAUAAUGAAAACUGUACAUAUGAAAGGGUUAGAGAAACCAGCUCAAUAAAAUACUGGAUUAGAAAGUGUGCAUGUCGUAGAAAAUUGUCCGAAAAAGAAGUAACACACUAUCUUAAUACAGAUAUAAGAAGAGAAACGAAGCAUGGUCGUGGAGGGCCUUGGUACGAAUUAUCAUGGAUUAAGUAUGACGGACCGAAUUUUUCAAAUUUGGCAGGGAGGUAAUUAAACCAAAAGAAAAGAGUGACUUUACCAUUUAUAAAUCUUGUGGAUAAAAAGAACUACUGAUGAUACCAUGUAUAAAUAUCAGAAAUAAAAAUGUCUUAUAACUCU